rnacentral:lncRNA from 1 species
ACAGGAUCUUUUGCCUACACGUUUCUUAGCUCUGCCAGCUCUCCAGAUUUUUUUUUUUUCAAAAAUUAAUUAAAGUCUGUCAAUGGCAGGCCACCCUUGUGGAUCGCUGUGUCUCUCGGCCCAACUGGAAAUCUCCAAAGCUCCAUCUCUCCUGAUUCCAGGUCAACAUUCGGCAUAGAAUCAGUCACUCAGAGGGGCUACUCAGAAGUUCACAUAUUAAAUGGAUAUGGAGGAGUCUUUGCCCAGCCUUUGACACUGUCCCGGGGAGGGACAUCAAAGAAGAAAAGAAAUUCAACUUGGAAAUAACUUGGAGAUGCCUUUGAGAUGUAAUGGAGGGAGAUGCUCUGGGGAUGAGCAACUGACUAGGAUUUUGCCCUGCUCUGCCCUGUCACCUACUGUGGGCCCUCACACUUGCCUACUGACUGGAGAGAAAGUGCCAAUGAGUGCAAAGCUAAGUUCUCCAAGAUUCAGGUUCAGGAAGUUCACAAGGCUGCAAACACAAUUACUGCUCAAGCUACUGAGCCAAUGCU